rnacentral:lncRNA from 1 species
GAUUUCAACUUGCCAAUGCCAUUGUGAAGUAGAGUCCUAGAAUCGAUGGAUCGGAAGCUUUACUCUCAACAGCAUCAUAACUAUCUAUGUUAUAGUUUGAUGGCAAUUCUAUGUAAGAGUUGAAUUUUGCUCUGAGUAUUUGAAUUCAAUAAAGACUAAAUGAUGAAACUAAUUGAACAACUUGACCUCUGGUUUCUUUUUAGAUAGCAAUGACUGCACAGCAUGCAACUUUUUCACCUUUUCGUCCUAAGAAGUGAGCCUUUGGUCUAGCGAUAGUGAAUUCAAGGUUAAUUGGCUUUUCAUUUAUUGCUAUAUUAUAUAUGAAGAAUAUGCUGUGUAUAGAAUCCUCAAUAUUUUUGCAUUGCUCUAACAUUUAAGUUUUUUGUUUUCCAUAGAAAAAGAAGAGGUGUCAAUGACUUGAUCGCCAACUCCCUUCCAGCCAUUUUUGAAAUUUAGGUAUUCUCAAAGCAUUAUCUAUUGCAUACAUGAUUCUAUAUGUUAAAGUUUCUUUAGUUUCUGUUCUUAUUUUUUGGCAUAUCUUGUCAAUGCUUCUUUAUAACAAUGGUUUUUUUUUUACUAGUUACCUGUGAAUGGAGUCUAGCAACAUUUGCUAAGUACUGGCUCGAGUGAUUGGGAGAAGUGCCUGGAGAGCUAAGCUGGUUGGAAAACCCCUUUGCUUCUUUCAAAAAUCAUUGUCAAUGGGUCCAUCUUGGCGAUUCUUGGAAGUUUUUGAGCAGUGGCGUCAAUUCUAGUCUUUAGGGCUUUACUUAAAUAACCCAAACUGUUAAAAGGACCUAAAUACAAAGGUUCUUUCAUAAUGUACAUAUGGAGAAGACUUUUGGGAUACUAUUCUAGGAUUUACAAUUUGCUAAAUUUGGGCGCUGCAGCUACUGUAACCUCCUGCAUCAUAGUAAAAUCUCU